CCUACGGGCGGCAGCAGUGGGGAAUAUUGGACAAUGGGGGGAACCCUGAUCCAGCCAUGCCGCGUGUGUGAAGAAGGCCCUCGGGUUGUAAAGCACUUUCAGUGAGGAAGAACGCCUGGUGGUUAAUACCCAUCAGGAAAGACAUCACUCACAGAAGAAGCACCGGCUAACUCCGUGCCAGCAGCCGCGGUAAUACGGAGGGUGCGAGCGUUAAUCGGAAUUACUGGGCGUAAAGCGCGCGUAGGUGGCUUGAUAAGCCGGUUGUGAAAGCCCCGGGCUCAACCUGGGAACGGCAUCCGGAACUGUCAAGCUAGAGUGCAGGAGAGGAAGGUAGAAUUCCCGGUGUAGCGGUGAAAUGCGUAGAGAUCGGGAGGAAUACCAGUGGCGAAGGCGGCCUUCUGGACUGACACUGACACUGAGGUGCGAAAGCGUGGGUAGCAAACAGGAAUAGAUACCCGGGUAGUC
rnacentral:rRNA from 1 species